rnacentral:rRNA from 1 species
CCUACGGGCGGCAGCAGUGGGGAAUAUUGCACAAUGGGCGCAAGCCUGAUGCAGCCAUGCCGCGUGUGUGAAGAAGGCCUUCGGGUUGUAAAGCACUUUCAGCGGGGAGGAAGGCGGUGAGGUUAAUAACCUCAUCGAUUGACGUUACCCGCAGAAGAAGCACCGGCUAACUCCGUGCCAGCAGCCGCGGUAAUACGGAGGGUGCAAGCGUUAAUCGGAAUUACUGGGCGUAAAGCGCACGCAGGCGGUCUGUCAAGUCGGAUGUGAAAUCCCCGGGCUCAACCUGGGAACUGCAUUCGAAACUGGGAGGCUAGAGUCUUGUGGAGGGGGGUAGAAUUCCAGGGGUAGCGGUGAAAUGCGUAGAGAUCUGGAGGAAUACCGGUGGCGAAGGCGGCCCCCUGGACAAAGACUGACGCUCAGGUGCGAAAGCGUGGGGAGCGAACAGGAUUAGAUACCCCGGUAGUC